GAAAGAUGUGUGGCCCCCUAGCAGUCCGGACCUUAACCCGUUGGAUUAUUCGAUUUGAGCGUAUGUUGACGCACAAGCCUGCAAAACAUCUCCCCCUAGUGUGAAGACCCUGAAGUCUGUCAUAUAGUCAUGGCAGUCGAUAUCGGAGGACUACGUUCGAAAGGCGUGUUCUAGCUUCCGGCGUCGUCUUGAAGAUGGCAUUGGUAAAAAUGGAGGACACAUCGAGUAAGUUUAUUUGAAAGGACCUAAUAAAGAUAACUGAACUCGAAA